rnacentral:lncRNA from 1 species
AAAUUCGAAUUUUGGUAAAGUAUGAGUGAUAAGGAGUAAGUGCACAAGAGUUGAGGGGUAAAAGUGUGAUAAUUAACUUAAACAUAACUUUUAGGUUAAAAUAAAUAGAAUAUGUGACGGGAACCAAAGUUACUAAUACAUAGAAGUUGUGCAAAUUGGAAAAAGAGAUAAGUGUGAGAAAAGGAGAACAAGAGCAUGAGGGAGAAGAAGAACACCAUAUUCAAA